rnacentral:rRNA from 1 species
AGAUUAAGUUAUUAAGGGCGCACGGUGAAUACCUUGGCACUAGAAGCCGAAGAAGGACGUUACUAACGACGAUAUGCUUUGGGGAGCUGUAAGUAAGCUGUGAUCCAGAGAUUUCCGAAUGGGGAAACCCAGCACGAGUUAUGUCGUGUUAUCUGCAUGUGAAUACAUAGCAUGUAAGAAGGCAGACCCGGAGAACUGAAACAUCUUAGUACCCGGAGGAAGAGAAAGAAAAAUCGAUUCCCUGAGUAGCGGCGAGCGAAACGGGAAGAGCCCAAACCAACAAGCUUGCUUGUUGGGGUUGUAGGACACUCUAUACGGAGUUACAAAGGCACAUGUUAGACGAAUAACCUGGAAAGGUUAAUCAUAGAAGGUAAUAAUCCUGUAGUCGAAAAUGUGUGCUCUCUUGAGUGGAUCCUGAGUACGACGGAGCACGUGAAAUUCCGUCGGAAUCUGGGAGGACCAUCUCCUAAGGCUAAAUACUCUCUAGUGACCGAUAGUGAACCAGUACCGUGAGGGAAAGGUGAAAAGUACCCCGGAAGGGGAGUGAAAGAGAACUUGAAACCGUGUGCUUACAAGUAGUCAGAGCCCGUUAAUGGGUGAUGGCGUGCCUUUUGUAGAAUGAACCGGCGAGUUACGAUCUGAUGCAAGGUUAAGCAGAAAAUGUGGAGCCGUAGCGAAAGCGAGUCUGAAUAGGGCGAAUGAGUAUUUGGUCGUAGACCCGAAACCAGGUGAUCUACCCUUGGUCAGGUUGAAGUUCAGGUAACACUGAAUGGAGGACCGAACCGACUUACGUUGAAAAGUGAGCGGAUGAACUGAGGGUAGCGGAGAAAUUCCAAUCGAACUUGGAGAUAGCUGGUUCUCUCCGAAAUAGCUUUAGGGCUAGCCUCAAGUGAUGAUUAUUGGAGGUAGAGCACUGUUUGGACGAGGGGCCCCUCUCGGGUUACCGAAUUCAGACAAACUCCGAAUGCCAAAUAAUUUAACUUGGGAGUCAGAAUGUGGGUGAUAAGGUCCAUAUUCGAAAGGGAAACAGCCCAGACCACCAGCUAAGGUCCCAAAAUAUAUGUUAAGUGGAAAAGGAUGUGGCGUUGCCCAGACAACUAGGAUGUUGGCUUAGAAGCAGCCAUCAUUUAAAGAGUGCGUAAUAGCUCACUAGUCGAGUGACACUGCGCCGAAAAUGUACCGGGGCUAAACAUAUUACCGAAGCUGUGGAUUGUCCGUAGGACAAUGGUAGGAGAGCGUUCUAAGGGCGUUGAAGCAUGAUCGCAAGGACAUGUGGAGCGCUUAGAAGUGAGAAUGCCGGUGUGAGUAGCGAAAGACGGGUGAGAAUCCCGUCCACCGAUUGACUAAGGUUUCCAGAGGAAGGCUCGUCCGCUCUGGGUUAGUCGGGUCCUAAGCUGAGGCCGACAGGCGUAGGCGAUGGAUAACAGGUUGAUAUUCCUGUACC